CAGGCCUCCCUCUGCUUGGUUCCAGUCGUGGGCAUGAGUGAGGGGCGAUGCUUGAUGGCUUUGAUGCCAUCGGUGGGAAUGUGUUUAAGCAUCGGCCUUCCCUCAUGACCACAAUGGUCUACAGUCUUGUGUACGAGUUAGUGACGUCGCUUGUUUGUUUUGAUGCUUGCGUUGGAACUUGCUUAAGCAACCGAUCUGACGAAUUACCCAUGAAUGUCUCCCAUGAUGGUCUACAGUCUUGCGUACGAGUUAGUGACGUCGCUUGUUUGUUUUGAUGCUUGCGUUGGAACUUGCUUAAGCAACCGACCUGACGAAGUACCCAUGAAUGUCACCAAUGAUGGUCUACAGUCUAGCGUACGAGUUAGUGACGUCGCUUGUUUGUUUUGAUGCUUGCGUUGGAACUUGCUUAAGCAACCGAACUGACGAAGUACCCAUGAAUGUCGCCCAUGAUGGUCUACAGUCUUGGGUAUGAGUCAGUGACGAUGCUUGUUUGUUUUGAUGCUUGUGUUUGAACUUGCUUAAGCAACCGACCUGACGAAGUACCCAUGAAUGUCGCCCAUGAUGGUCUACAGUCUUGGGUAUGAGUCAGUGACGAUGCUUGUUUGUUUUGAUGCUCGCGUUGGAACUUGCUUAGGGGGUGAUGUUGAGAGCCGGAAGGCAAAGGGGUGCAAACACUAGUUGGACUUUGUCCCGAUUGCCGAGUGUUAUGUGCUUGAUGUCCAAGGCUUGAUGUUGAUCCUCCAAGUGGGGCUUGUCCCUGCACCAAUGGCUUUUGCCAGGAUCAUGGGGUUUGUUAUGAUCGAAAAACUUAAGGGGGGGGGUUUAGAGCUGGAAGGCAAGGGGGUGCAAACACCAGUCGGCCUUUGUCCCGAUUCAUGAGUGUCAUGUGCUUGAUGUCCAAGGCUUGAAGCUGACCCUCCAAGUAGGGGCGUUUUUGUUUCUGCGGUAACGACUCUGUUGGGAUCAUUGUGAUCAAGUUUGGUUGGUUUCGUAUUGUGGUGGGUUUUUUCGAAGCUUCUAUCGUUCUUUUACGCAUCGUGCGGUGCAUCUUGGGGGCUGUUUUGGCUUUUGGUUGCUUGCUUGGGCUUUAUGCUAGGCGGGUGGCUAAU
rnacentral:misc_RNA from 1 species